AGAGUUUGAUCAUGGCUCAGGAUGAACGCUGGCGGCGUGCCUAACACAUGCAAGUCGAGCGAUUUACUUCGGUAAAGAGCGGCGGACGGGUGAGUAACGCGUGGGUAACCUGCCCUGUACACACGGAUAACAUACCGAAAGGUAUGCUAAUACGAGAUAAUAUGUUUUUAUCGCAUGGUAGAAGUAUCAAAGCUUUUGCGGUACAGGAUGGACCCGCGUCUGAUUAGCUAGUUGGUAAGGUAACGGCUUACCAAGGCUACGAUCAGUAGCCGACCUGAGAGGGUGAUCGGCCACAUUGGAGCUGAGACACGGUCUAAACUCCUACGGGAGGCAGCAGUGGGGAAUAUUGCACAAUGGGCGAAAGCCUGAUGCAGCAACGCCGCGUGAGCGAUGAAGGCCUUCGGGUCGUAAAGCUCUGUCCUCAAGGAAGAUAAUGACGGUACUUGAGGAGGAAGCCCCGGCUAACUACGUGCCAGCAGCCGCGGUAAUACGUAGGGGGCUAGCGUUAUCCGGAAUUACUGGGCGUAAAGGGUGCGUAGGUGGUUUCUUAAGUCAGAGGUGAAAGGCUACGGCUCAACCGUAGUAAGCCUUUGAAACUGGGAAACUUGAGUGCAGGAGAGGAGAGUGGAAUUCCUAGUGUAGCGGUGGAAUGCGUAGAUAUUAGGAGGAACACCGGUUGCGAAGGCGGCUCUCUGGACUGUAACUGACACUGAGGCACGAAAGCGUGGGGAGCAAACAGGAUUAGAUACCCUGGUAGUCC
rnacentral:rRNA from 1 species